rfam:Oryza sativa Japonica Group DNA, chromosome 5, cultivar: Nipponbare, complete sequence.
UUUAAGUGCAAUCAUAAAUUUUCACGAUCAACUUUAAUCGUUUGUCUUAUUUAAAUUUUUUUUCGUAAUUAGUAUUUUUUUUUUGUUGUUAUGAGAUGAUAAAAUAUAAAUAAUACUUUAUGCGUGACUUAUAUUUUUAUUUUUUUUAAAGAAAAAUUUAAAUAACAUGAACGGUUAAAAUAGGGCACGAAAACUCGUAAACCACGUUCAGG